GGUGGGAGGGUCCCACCGAGCACCCUGUCGGCUGGCAGCCCCGGCCCAGGUAGUGGGUGCUCUGCCACA
ensembl:miRNA